UGGGCCGUAACUGACGCUGAGGGACGAAAGCUAGGGGAGCGAAAGGGAUUAGAUACCCCUGUAGUCCUAGCUGUAAACGAUGGAUACUAGGUGUUGGACGUAUCGACCCGUUCAGUACCGCAGCCAACGCGAUAAGUAUCCCGCCUGGGGAGUACGCACGCAAGUGUGAAACUCAAAGGAAUUGACAGGGGCCCGCACAAGCGGUGGAGUAUGUGGUUUAAUUCGAUGCAACGCGAAGAACCUUACCAGGGCUUGACAUCCCCCGAAUCCUUGUGAAAGCGAGGAGUGCCUUCGGGAGCGGGGAGACAGGUGGUGCAUGGCUGUCGUCAGCUCGUGUCGUGAGAUGUUGGGUUAAGUCCCGCAACGAGCGCAACCCACGUCCUUAGUUGCCAUCAUUCAGUUGGGCACUCUGGGGAGACUGCCGGGGACAACUCGGAGGAAGGUGUGGAUGACGUCAAGUCAUCAUGCCCCUUACGUUCUGGGCUACACACGUACUACAAUGCUUCGGACAAAGGGCAGCCAACUAGCGAUAGUGAGCUAAUCCCAUAAACCGAGGCACAGUUCAGAUUGCAGGCUGCAACUCGCCUGCAUGAAGGAGGAAUCCCUAGUAAGUGCAAGUCAUCAGCUUGCGCUGAUUACGUCCCUGCCCUUUGCACUCACCGCCCGUC
rnacentral:rRNA from 1 species